rnacentral:rRNA from 1 species
CCCUUAGAUGUUCUGGGCCGCACGCGCGCUACACUGAAGGAGGCAGCGUGUACUCCUGGAUCGAAAGAUUUGGGUAACCCGCGAAUCUCCUUCGUGCUAGGGAUUGAGGUUUGCAAUUAUCCUUCAUGAACGAGGAAUUCCCAGUAAGUGCAAGUCAUAAGCUUGCGCUGACUACGUCCCUGCCCUUUGUACACACCGCCCGUCGCUACUACCGAUUGAAUGAUUUAGUGAGGACUUCGGACUGGGACCGAUGCGGCUUUCGGGCUGCGUCGGUAUUCUGGAAAGAUGUCCAAACUGUAUCAUUUAGAGGAAGUAAAANUCGUAACA